rnacentral:rRNA from 1 species
GACGAACGCUGGCGGCGUGCUUAACACAUGCAAGUCGAACGGAAAGGCCCUGCUUUUGUGGGGUGCUCGAGUGGCGAACGGGUGAGUAACACGUGAGUAACCUGCCCUUGACUUUGGGAUAACUUCAGGAAACUGGGGCUAAUACCGGAUAGGAGCUCCUGCCGCAUGGUGGGGGUUGGAAAGUUUCGGCGGUUGGGGAUGGACUCGCGGCUUAUCAGCUUGUUGGUGGGGUAGUGGCUUACCAAGGCUUUGACGGGUAGCCGGCCUGAGAGGGUGACCGGCCACAUUGGGACUGAGAUACGGCCCAGACUCCUACGGGAGGCAGCGGUGGGGAAUAUUGCACAAUGGGCGGAAGCCGGAGGCAGCAACGCCGCGUGCGGGAUGACGGCCUUCGGGUUGUAAACCGCUUUCGCCUGUGACGAAGCGUGAGUGACGGUAAUGGGUAAAGAAGCACCGGCUAACUACGUG